rnacentral:rRNA from 1 species
UACAGAGGGUGCAAGCGUUAUUCGGAAUUAUUGGGCGUAAAGGGCGCGUAGGCGGCUUGGCAAGUGGGUGGUGAAAUCCCUCGGCUUAACCGAGGAACUGCCGUCCAAACUGCUUCGCUUGAGACCGGGAGAGGUGAGUGGAAUUCCCAGUGUAGCGGUGAAAUGCGUAGAUAUUGGGAGGAACACCAGUGGCGAAGGCGGCUCACUGGACCGGUACUGACGCUGAUGCGCGAAAGCGUGGGGAGCAAACGGG